rnacentral:rRNA from 1 species
GACGAACGCUGGCGGCGUGCCUAAUACAUGCAAGUCGAACGGUCUUUUCUAUGGAAGCUUGCUUCCGCUGAGAAGAUAGUGGCGAACGGGUGAGUAACACGUGGGUAACCUGCCCAUAAGAGGGGGAUAACAUCCGGAAACGGGUGCUAAUACCGCAUAGUUUUCUUGAUCGCAUGAUUGAGAAAGGAAAGACGGCCUUUGUGCUGUCGCUUAUGGAUGGACCCGCGGCGUAUUAGUUAGUUGGUGAGGUAACGGCUCACCAAGACGAUGAUACGUAGCCGACCUGAGAGGGUGAUCGGCCACAUUGGGACUGAGACACGGCCCAAACUCCUACGGGAGGCAGCAGUAGGGAAUCUUCCGCAAUGGACGAAAGUCUGACGGAGCAACGCCGCGUGAGUGAAGAAGGUUUUCGGAUCGUAAAACUCUGUUGUCAGAGAAGAACAAGUCGGAGAGUAACUGCUCCGGCCUUGACGGUAUCUGACCAGAAAGCCACGGCUAACUACGUGCCAGCAGCCGCCGUAAAAC